rnacentral:lncRNA from 1 species
AGGAAUUUUAGAAGCUUCCAGGUAGUUUGAAUGUGCAGAGGAGUUUAAGGAGCAUUGUUCAUGCCUUAGACACUGGGAGCUAUCCUCUGACCAUAUCCCUCCAGUGAGGCUAUCCUGGCCCGAUUCUUCCAUUGUUCUCAAAGCCUAACCCUCAGAAAACAUGCUUCUGUGUCCAAGGAGAAGCUGGAGAAGGAAACUGGCUGAAAUAUGACGGCCCCGCUAUAGUCCUCCACUCUGCCAGCUGAGCUGUUGACGGGAGCGCGCAACUGGCUCAAAUAUGGAUCAGAGGUUGCAAGUAAAUGGCUAGAGCACUCUAGCUGCUGGGCGCUGUGUGGAAAAGAACCGUCCAGAUCCAUCUCUUUCCCGCUUUGUGGCUGGGCCCCCUGUGGUGAGUUUCCCACCCUGGCUACGUGUCAGUACUGGGCCUGCUCUGCCAGCGCACCCAAGGCCACUGAGAACAAUCAACAUAAGGUGAAUGAGAUCAAGAAUUUCAUCAUCAGCAUCUUAGCCAAGCAUCUGCUCCCCAGGAAGCCAAAUGUCUUUUUUAUAACACCGCACGUCUCCUUGUAUGUGUGUGUCGUCUGAAUACCACAUGUGCUUGAAUGUUCCUUGGGGCCUACACUGCUGCAAUGCAAAUAAAUUGUCCCCAGGAUAACGGAUCCCAGGAAUUAGCUGGGGAACUUUUAAAAGAUCUAAGUCCCCAACUUUCAUCGAGACUCAUUUCAUCAGGCCGAGAGUCAUGAGCUUCUUAAAUAUCUUCCUCCUAGGGAUCUUGUGAUCUGUUUUAGGAACCACCAACAGGCCUCAUAAACUGCAGUUCCAUGGUCUGGUGUUAUAUGUUCGUACCUUUCCUUCUGACCAUGUUACCGUCUCAGCAGGAUGAGGGACUGGCACGCUUCCCUGGGCUUUAUAGAAUUCUACAUUAACACGAGCAGGAGCAACAUGUUAAUAGAGAUGUUGGAUUUUGAUUCUGGAAACUCAGAACAGAGGAUCUGGUGUUUUUUGGUUCAUCCUUCAUUAAUCAGUUUCUAACAUAAGACCUAUUUUCAGGUUUGGCUCAAAGUAGGGGACUCAAAAUUUAGGGCAGAGGAGGCAGGAAAAUGAGGUAACCUGCUUAUUCAUUAUCUGACCACUUCCUCAAACGAGGUUCCCCCAAGAAGAAUUUAAGUAAAUCCACUAAUUGAUUGCUAAUUACCAGUUGCUUGCUAAAUUAUGUAAUCAUUUACUUUAUUUAAAAAAUUAAAUCAGCAAAUAUUUACUAAGCAUUUACAGGAAACAGAGUCCUGUGCUUGCCAUGGGGCAGUAGCUUAGGAACUGUAACUUAUUCAUUUGGAAAGGACAAGGAGAAGGCAGAACAUCAGUCUGAUGGGUGACUUGUGUUUAAAGAAAUGGUUUUGAAUGUAG